GGCCCGGUGAACGUCUAGGCGGCGGCGGCAGCGCCGACGAGGGGACAGCUGCGGGGCCGUCGUGGUGGGAGGCGUCUCUGAGCCGCGCCAGACUAGCCGAGCCUGGUGGAGUCCGGCCGCUCACUCCUGCUUUCUCCCGGACUCGUUCGUUCCCCCGGCGUCUGUCGACGCCGCUCCGUGUCCCCGCUGGGCACAGCAGCCCGGGCCCUCCACGUCCACGGCCGCUAGCCUGAGGAGGCCCUCCUUCAGCUCCCGCUCUUCCUCCUCGCCCGACGCAGACGACGAGGGCGUGCGCAGCACCUGCGAAGAUGCUUCUAUUUGCAAGAGAUUCAAGUCUCUCCUAUCAAAAACCAAUUUAGACUUACAUUCAGAGGAGACACUUCAAAUGGGCAAAUCCGCCCGCCGUACAAACUAUUGGGACUUCCUGGCUGAUUGUGGUGUGGAUGUUGUAAGUACCAAUCUGCUGUGUGCUUCCCCGCUCCUUCUUCUGUUCCUCUUUAUCCCCGCUCCUUGUUCUCUUCCCCUUUAUCAAUAAACUCUGAUUGCUUAAACAACCAAAUAGCCUUGGCGGUACCUAUCAUUCCUCACCCUUUGUGGCUGCGGACAACAGCAACCCUAACUAGUGAGUGUUAAGGAAAAAAAA
rnacentral:lncRNA from 1 species